GACGAACGCUGGCGGCGUGCUUAACACAUGCAAGUCGAACGGAAAGGCCCUGCUUUUGUGGGGUGCUCGAGUGGCGAACGGGUGAGUAACACGUGAGUAACCUGCCCUUGACUUUGGGAUAACUUCAGGAAACUGGGGCUAAUACCGGAUAGGAGCUCCUGCUGCAUGGUGGGGGUUGGAAAUUUUCGGCGGUUGGGGAUGGACUCGCGGCUUAUCAGCUUGUUGGUGGGGUAGUGGCUUACCAAGGCUUUGACGGGUAGCCGGCAUGAGAGGGUGACCGGCCACCUUGGGACUGAGAUAGGGCCCAGACUCCUAUGGGAGGCAGCAGUGGGGAAUAUUGCACAAUGGGCGGAAGCCUGAUGAAGAAACGCCGCGUGCGGGAUGACGGCCUUUGGGUUGUAAACCGCUUUAGCCUGUGACGAAGCGUGAGUGACGGUAAUGGGUAAAGAAGCACCGGCUAACUACGUG
rnacentral:rRNA from 1 species